rnacentral:rRNA from 1 species
GCAGCAUCAUCAAAGCUUGCUUUGAUGGAUGGCGACCGGCGCACGGGUGAGUAACACGUAUCCAACCUGCCGACAACACUGGGAUAGCCUUUCGAAAGAAAGAUUAAUACCGGAUGGUAUAGUUUUCCCGCAUGGGAUGAUUAUUAAAGAAUUUCGGUUGUCGAUGGGGAUGCGUUCCAUUAGGCAGUUGGCGGGGUAACGGCCCACCAAACCUACGAUGGAUAGGGGUUCUGAGAGGAAGGUCCCCCACAUUGGAACUGAGACACGGUCCAAACUCCUACGGGAGGCAGCAGUGAGGAAUAUUGGUCAAUGGACGAGAGUCUGAACCAGCCAAGUAGCGUGAAGGAUGACUGCCCUAUGGGUUGUAAACUUCUUUUAUACGGGAAUAAAGUGAGCCACGUGUGGCUUUUUGUAUGUACCGUAUGAAUAAGGAUCGGCUAACUCCGUGCCAGCAGCCGCGGUAAUACGGAGGAUCCGAGCGUUAUCCGGAUUUAUUGGGUUUAAAGGGAGCGUAGGCGGGUUGUUAAGUCAGUUGUGAAAGUUUGCGGCUCAACCGUAAAAUUGCAGUUGAUACUGGCGACCUUGAGUGCAACAGAGGUAGGCGGAAUUCGUGGUGUAGCGGUGAAAUGCUUAGAUAUCACGAAGAACUCCGAUUGCGAAAGGCAGCUUACUGGAUUGUAACUGACGCUGAUGCUCGA